GUCGGGAAUUUUGGGCAAUGGGCGAAAGCCUGACCCAGCAACGCCGCGUGAAGGAUGAAGUAUUUCGGUAUGUAAACUUCGUAAGAAUAGGAAGAAUAAAUGACGGUACUAUUUGUAAGGUCCGGCUAACUACGUGCCAGCAGCCGCGGUAAUACGUAGGGACCAAGCGUUGUUCGGAUUUACUGGGCGUAAAGGGCGCGUAGGCGGCGUGGUAAGUCAGCUGUGAAAUCUCCGAGCUUAACUCGGAACGGUCAGCUGAUACUGCUGUGCUAGAGUACAGAAAGGGCAAUCGGAAUUCUUGGUGUAGCGGUGAAAUGCGUAGAUAUCAAGAGGAACACCUGAGGCGAAGGCGGGUUGCUAGGCUGAUACUGACGCUGAGGCGCGAAAGCUAGGGUAGCAAACAGGAUUAGAUACCCGGGUAGUCC
rnacentral:rRNA from 1 species